GAUCUCACCUCGUCCUGCAGUCUUGCCUAUCCACAAGAUGUAACUGAAAUAGAACAAAGUGAGACACUCAGCACCUUCAGUGCUCACGGCUUCCAAAAGCUCUGCCAAAGCCCCAGCUACUUAUUCAAACAGUCCACGUGUUCUUUGUAUUUGGACAGUGCUUCACACCUUAUUGCAAAGGCAGUGUGUUUACAGGAAAAGAUUUCAAGCUGGCCAAUGUUGCUUUAGCAGAUCCAGAGAAUAUGAUUGUGAGGGUUGGGGAGAGAGAUCAAAGCAAAGCAAGGUGUCUCUGUGCAGAGCAGGGAUCGGGGCUGAGUGACCAGCUCCAAUGGUCCUAUUACUCUAUGAUUCCAUGGUGAAUUACUGAAGAUCCAUGCAUAGGAAAGCAUGCAGAUGGGCAGUAUGCACUGCCUCGGAUAACCCUGGCAAUUGCCUGUUAAUCCUGG
rnacentral:lncRNA from 1 species